rnacentral:rRNA from 1 species
GAUGAACGCUGGCGGCGUGCCUAAUACAUGCAAGUCGAGCGAAUGGAUUAAGAGCUUGCUCUUAUGAAGUUAGCGGCGGACGGGCGAGUAACACGUGGGUAACCUGCCCAUAAGACUGGGAUAACUCCGGGAAACCGGGGCUAAUACCGGAUAACAUUUUGAACCGCAUGGUUCGAAAUUGAAAGGCGGCUUCGGCUGUCACUUAUGGAUGGACCCGCGUCGCAUUAGCUAGUUGGUGAGGUAACGGCUCACCAAGGCAACGAUGCGUAGCCGACCUGGGAGGGUGAUCGGCCACACUGGGACUGAGACACGGCCCAGACUCCUACGGGAGGCAGCAGUAGGGAAUCUUCCGCAAUGGACGAAAGUCUGACGGAGCAACGCCGCGUGAGUGAUGAAGGCUUUCGGGUCGUAAAACUCUGUUGUUAGGGAAGAACAAGUGCUAGUUGAAUAAGCCGGCACCUUGACGGUACCUAACCAGAGAGCCACGGCUAACUACGUGCCAGCCGCCGCCGUAA